rnacentral:misc_RNA from 1 species
AGAGAGAGAGAGAGAGAGAGAAUGCUUGCAAAGCAAACAAAAACCUAGGAAGAUUAUCAAUAAGUGAGCACAACAAGAAAAUAUUUCCCAAAACCCCUUAACAAGAAGAUGAAAUACAUCAACCGGCAAGCUCUAAAGUCUAUAAAUCUGCAAAGUGUCAAUAAAGUAGAUUUAGUAGGAAACAUACUGUUAGAAUGGAUGAGAUUUUACUUUAAUUUAU